UGGGGAAUAUUGCGCAAUGGGGGAAACCCUGACGCAGCGACGCCGCGUGUGGGAUGAAGGUCUUCGGAUUGUAAACCACUGUCGCGAGGGACGAAGCUCUGACGGUACCUCGAAAGGAAGCACCGGCUAACUCUGUGCCAGCAGCCGCGGUAAUACAGAGGGUGCGAGCGUUGUCCGGAAUCACUGGGCGUAAAGGGCGCGUAGGCGGCCCGGUAAGUAGGGGGUGAAAUCUCAUGGCUCAACUGUGAGGCUGCCUUCUAGACUGCCAGGCUUGAGCACAGUAGAGGCGAGUGGAAUUCCAGGUGUAGCGGUGAAAUGCGUAGAUAUCUGGAGGAACACCGGUGGCGAAGGCGGCAUCCUGGACCGGUAUUGACGCUGAGUGAGCGAAAGCCAGGGGAGCAAACGGGAUUAGAUACCCUAGUAGUCCCUGAGCGGGCUGGCAAGGCGCAU
rnacentral:rRNA from 1 species